CAGUCGAAAUGGGUCGUGCCUAUGCUUUUUAGAACCGUCGAUGACAUUAGGUGGUUGUCAGUCCAAACAUCCAUUGAAACGAGGAUAGAAGGUUAAAAAACUGGCACCAUUAAAUCAAAAAGAUUCUGGAAGCUGCCAAUCAUACAUCACAAACCAGUUUAACAAAAUGAACUAAAAGUGAACCUAAGAGAUAUUAGAAACAUAUUUAAGAGUUUCAAGCUAUUUAACCAACAAUAGUUUGGAAAAAUAUUUCAAUAGAAACAAUGGAACCGGUCCAACCCAAAUCACAUGAUAGAUUGGAGACGCUGAUGAAACCCAUAUUUCACAUUUACUUUAACUGGAAAUCAUGAUUUCUUUAGAUGAGGAAAACAAGCAUGGACAUAAGCUUUAGGGUGCUUUGCUUCAGCAUGUCCCCUGUAUUUCACCUUUGAAGUAGUGCAGAUAAAUGUCUGCAUGCACACCUUGUACAACAGUUCACAACCGCCAAGCAAACGAUGAUAAAUGCAAUGGAUCACUAGCAAAAAAAGAACGCAUAGAUGAUAUACAUUGUACAGUCAAGCAAUGCAAAAAAUGAAAACAUAAACACAGAUGAUUUCCAUUGUAUUGUCAAGCAAUGCAAACAUUUUUAGAACUAUUAUUGCCAUGACUAGAAUUGGAAAAGGAAAACCCAUUAGCAAUAACUUACUAAAUUCUGAUACUCAAGGUAGGCAUCAAAUUUAUAGUAUCUACCUUCUCAAUUGAGAUAAUUUUGGAUAAGUACAAUAGAGAUGUGUAAAUAUGAAUGCCAUAGACAUGAUGAAGUAAAAUACACUACAAUAAAUGUGUGCAAAUAAAAAUAUUCAGUUAGAAUCACAACCUUGUGCCAUCUUGAUCGGGUAAAUGUUGAUAGCAGUAUGGCAAGACAUGACCUAGAGUACAAGAUGAAAAUUAGAAAUUUCUUAAAUUAAUAUAACAAAUUACCUUUAUUUUUACCUUGAGCGUUCACAAUUCCAUUCGUAGGUGGUAGGUAGAUAAAAGAUGAAUAUGGUAAGUGCGAUGUGACGGCUUCAUUGGCAUUGUUACCCUACAUGAGAUGACACCCAAUUUAACAUUCCAACCCAUUUAUAUGAAUUAACCUAUUAUACUCACCAAUAAGAGUUGUGAAUAUGAGACUGGGGUUGGCAUAGAACAUUGUGGUAGUCGAGAUGCCUGGGAAUCAAUUACAGCCUCCUCUGUACCUUGCCCUAGGCCUCUUUCCUAUGGUUGACCCUAAUGUGGAUAGCAUGUUCAUCAACUCAAAUCAGAAUUUUGACUCAAAUGCCCAAUCAAUUAAAAGGGGAAUGGACAACAAUACCUUUAAUUUGUUUGAAGUGGACACCAAUUGGCCUUUCAUCUAUAGUUUUCUUGGUGCGCCCUUCCUGUUCGACGAUUUAGGAUCCAAUAUGCUCAUGCUCCCAGUAUUUUGCGAAUCGUUACAAGUAGAAGCUGAACGAAUAACACGCUGUGAAAUGGUAGUGCUUCCACUACUCGAUUUUGACAGCCACAUGUGUCCUGCUUGCAAUUUUAUACAUUACGUUAUAGCACGUGACCACUCUUUAUCAUCUGCAGUGAGGUCUGCCACCUCUGAGAAAGCCUAAUACAUCGUUAUAUCUUACCUAUCACAGAGCACUUUCUAACCCAUCAUAAUUGACUUUGACCCUUAUGUGUACUCUUUUGACAUCUCUCUUCCAUCUUCGUAGUAUAUACCUAUUAGACAUUGACGUGAUGUCAUUGCAGAUCAAGACCGUGAUCGUAUGCCUGCAAAUGAUUCCUCGAAACUUGAAUAAAUGGCAACUACAAUUAAUUCGCACAUACCCCUCCGAAAUCAGACGCAAAAUGUUCUUCUCUUCUGGUGCUCACGAACGUCGUAGUUUGUCCAAAAAUAUUCAUCCUUCUCAGAGAUGACAUGACAAAGACCUUACCAAUGAAUUCAUUUUGUACUUCCUUGAACUUUGAAAUGUUAUACACUAAUUGAAAUUGUUUCUCCAUUUCGAAAGUUAUUGCACAUGGUACCAUUUGGAAAAAUUACUUGAAAUCAACCUGAAACUCUUUCUCAACCUUAUUCUUCAGUACUCUUUCAUACUGCUCGAUGAACUACCUCAACAAGGUCUUUGAAUGCACAUAUCCAUCGAAAAAUGUGUUCAUACUUUCACUUCGUUGUGUUUUUGGACAUCCCUGCCCAGAAAAAUGAACCCAACGACAUCUGUUAUCGUACAGCCCCGACACCAUUCAUUAUCAUGCAAGUGAUACCUAUCAAGCAUCACCUUCUAACCUUGCAUUCUUCAAAAAAUUGUAAAUCGUAUACUAGGUCGUGUAUGAACAAAGUAGCCUAACUUUUCUGGUAACUUCUUCAAAAUGCACAAACACCAUCUAUGCUUUGUAUUCGGAAAUACAAUAUCAAUUGUAUUUUGCAUUACCCCUAUCUUGAUCAGUAAUUAUUCCUUUAGGAGCUUUACCAUGCAUACACUCGAGCCAUGUUCUGAACAACCACACAAAAGUCCCCGUGUCUUCGUUCGAUAAUAGUCCACAAGCAAGCGGAGUUGAUUGUUCAUGAUGAUUUACGCCAACAAAAGAGGCAAAGGGCAUGUCAUACUUAUUAGUGAGAUACGUAGUAUCAAAAGUGACAAUAUUACUAAACUUCUUGUAAGAUUGCCUACAUCUAUUAUCUGCCCAAAAGUACAUUCUUCAGUCGUGACUCAUUGUCUAAGUUCAUACUGAAGUAAAAUCCUGAGCACCGUACUUGCAUCUUUGAAAAGUACGCUUGUAUUGCGGUGGCAUCUCCUUCACCAAGUUGUAUUCAUCUCACUUGUUCAGUAUAGUUCCAACAAUUCUUCUCCAUAAAUGUCAUGUUCUCAUAUCUACAUGCUGCCACAACUGUGGAGUUAAAAUUCUUUUGCAAGGGAAUUCCAACAAUAUCAUUCAAUUUGAGAUUUCUUUUCGCACUGGCAUUCAACUUUCGAUUGCAUUAAUACAAUCUAGACUUAGACGGACUUGUUUUAUGAUUAUAGUCGAGGUACACUCGUAUUAAUUUUCCAUAUUUCAGGAUUAUCUAAAGAUGUAGAUAUUCUUGCUUUACAAUCCGUCUGACUUGUUAUUUGUGGCUUCAAAGAACAACCUACUUUCACGACUACAUGUGAACGUCACAUAUCUCAUAACCUUGUCGUCACCCUUUUUUGAAUUUCGUUUCCUCAAUGGAAAGCCUACGGCAUAAGCAUAUCUUUUAUAGAAGUCCAACAUUUUUCUUCACUAUUAAACAUCACACGCCUCAAGCUUAGUCACAACAUCUCCUCCUAAUUUUUCGUUGUCCAAUGUGUUCGAAUUUGCCGCUACGUUCUCGUUAUCACAUUCUACCAAGACAUCAUGAUUCUCAUCUUCCGUAAUCUCUUUUCUUGCAAAUAUUGUGAUUUUGUUAGAAGUUGUAAAUUACAUGUAACUAAAAUCACAACUCUACCACUAAUAGUAAUUAACAUGCUUGUAAUGAAAAAAAAAAUAAUGGCAGAUAAGGUUGUGAAAUUAGUAAUAGGAUAUAGCCAAUUUUAUGUCGAUUAAGG
rnacentral:lncRNA from 1 species